rnacentral:rRNA from 1 species
UACGUAGGGGGCGAGCGUUGUCCGGAUUUAUUGGGCGUAAAGAGCUCGUAGGCGGUUUGGUAAGUUGGAUGUGAAAUCUCCAGGCUCAACUUGGAGGGGUCAUUCGAUACUGCCAUGACUAGAGUUCGGUAGGGGAGUGUGGAAUUCCUGGUGGAGCGGUGAAAUGCGCAGAUAUCAGGAGGAACACCCGUAGCGAAGGCGGCACUCUGGGCCGGAACUGACGCUGAGGAGCGAAAGCCAGGGGAGCAAACGGG